GCACUAGUGGUUUAGUGGUAAAAUCCAUCGUUGCCAUUCAACCUCGAUGGGCCCCGCGUUCGAUUCGCGGCUAGUGCA